CUACGGGAUGCUGCAGUGGGGAAUAUUGCACAAUGGGCGCAAGCCUGAUGCAGCCAUGCCGCGUGUAUGAAGAAGGCCUUCGGGUUGUAAAGUACUUUCAGCGGGGAGGAAGGGAGUAAAGUUAAUACCUUUGCUCAUUGACGUUACCCGCAGAAGAAGCACCGGCUAACUCCGUGCCAGCAGCCGCGGUAAUACGGAGGGUGCAAGCGUUAAUCGGAAUUACUGGGCGUAAAGCGCACGCAGGCGGUUUGUUAAGUCAGAUGUGAAAUCCCCGGGCUCAACCUGGGAACUGCAUCUGAUACUGGCAAGCUUGAGUCUCGUAGAGGGGGGUAGAAUUCCAGGCGUAGCGGUGAAAUGCGUAGAGAUCUGGAGGAAUACCGGUGGCGAAGGCGGCCCCCUGGACGAAGACUGAUGCUCAGGUGCGAAAGCGUGGGGAGCAAACAGGAUUAGAUACCCGCGUAGUC
rnacentral:rRNA from 1 species